CAGCCGCCGCGGUAAUACGUAGGUGGCAAGCGUUGUCCGGAAUUAUUGGGCGUAAAGGGCUCGCAGGCGGUUUCUUAAGUCUGAUGUGAAAGCCCCCGGCUCAACCGGGGAGGGACAUUGGAAACUGGGAAACUUGAGUGCAGAAGAGGAGAGUGGAAUUCCACGUGUAGCGGUGAAAUGCGUAGAGAUGUGGAGGAACACCAGUGGCGAAGGCGACUCUCUGGUCUGUAACUGACGCUGAGGAGCGAAAGCGUGGGGAGCGAACAGGAUUAGAUACCCCCGUAGUCCCUGUCUCUUAUAU
rnacentral:rRNA from 1 species